rnacentral:rRNA from 1 species
UCCUACGGGAGGCAGCAGUGAGGAAUAUUGGUCAAUGGACGCAAGUCUGAACCAGCCAUGCCGCGUGCAGGAAGAAGGUGCUAUGCAUUGUAAACUGCUUUUACACGGGGGUAAUUACAGAUACGUGUAUCUGGAUGAAAGUACCGUAUGAAUAAGGAUCGGCUAACUCCGUGCCAGCAGCCGCGGUAAUACGGAGGAUCCGAGCGUUAUCCGGAUUUAUUGGGUUUAAAGGGUGCGUAGGCGGGCUGUUAAGUCAGCGGUAAAAGCCCGGGGCUCAACCCCGGCGAGCCGUUGAAACUGGCUGU